rnacentral:rRNA from 1 species
CUACGGGGCGCAGCAGUGAGGAAUAUUGCACAAUGGGGGGAACCCUGAUGCAGCAACGCCGCGUGGAGGAUGACGCAUUUCGGUGUGUAAACUCCUUUUAUAUGUCAAGAAAAUGACGGUAGCAUAUGAAUAAGCACCGGCUAACUCCGUGCCAGCAGCCGCGGUAAUACGGAGGGUGCAAGCGUUACUCGGAAUCACUGGGCGUAAAGGACGCGUAGGCGGGCUUGUAAGUCAGGUGUGAAAUCCUACAGCUUAACUAUAGAACUGCACUUGAAACUACGAGCCUAGAGUAUGGGAGGGGCAGAUGGAAUUAGUGGUGUAGGGGUAAAAUCCGUAGAUAUCACUAGGAAUACCUAAAGCGAAGGCGAUCUGCUGGAACAUAACUGACGCUAAGGCGUGAAAGCGUGGGGAGCAAACAGGAUUAGAUACCCCUGUAGUC